GCCUAGGAAUCUGCCUGGUAGUGGGGGACAACGUUUCGAAAGGAACGCUAAUACCGCAUACGUCCUACGGGAGAAAGCAGGGGACCUUCGGGCCUUGCGCUAUCAGAUGAGCCUAGGUCGGAUUAGCUAGUUGGUGAGGUAAUGGCUCACCAAGGCGACGAUCCGUAACUGGUCUGAGAGGAUGAUCAGUCACACUGGAACUGAGACACGGUCCAGACUCCUACGGGAGGCAGCAGUGGGGAAUAUUGGACAAUGGGCGAAAGCCUGAUCCAGCCAUGCCGCGUGUGUGAAGAAGGUCUUCGGAUUGUAAAGCACUUUAAGUUGGGAGGAAGGGCAGUAAGUUAAUACCUUGCUGUUUUGACGUUACCGACAGAAUAAGCACCGGCUAACUUCGUGCCAGCAGCCGCGGUAAUACGAAGGGUGCAAGCGUUAAUCGGAAUUACUGGGCGUAAAGCGCGCGUAGGUGGUUUGUUAAGUUGGAUGUGAAAGCCCCGGGCUCAACCUGGGAACUGCAUCCAAAACUGGCAAGCUAGAG
rnacentral:rRNA from 1 species